AUUGAACGCUGGCGGCAGGCCUAACACAUGCAAGUCGAGCGGUAACACAGAGAGCUUGCUCUCGGGUGACGAGCGGCGGACGGGUGAGUAAUGUCUGGGAAACUGCCUGAUGGAGGGGGAUAACUACUGGAAACGGUAGCUAAUACCGCAUAACGUCGCAAGACCAAAGUGGGGGACCUUCGGGCCUCAUGCCAUCAGAUGUGCCCAGAUGGGAUUAGCUAGUAGGUGGGGUAAUGGCUCACCUAGGCGACGAUCCCUAGCUGGUCUGAGAGGAUGACCAGCCACACUGGAACUGAGACACGGUCCAGACUCCUACGGGAGGCAGCAGUGGGGAAUAUUGCACAAUGGGCGCAAGCCUGAUGCAGCCAUGCCGCGUGUAUGAAGAAGGCCUUCGGGUUGUAAAGUACUUUCAGCGAGGAGGAAGGCGUUAAGGUUAAUAACCUUGGCGAUUGACGUUACUCGCAGAAGAAGCACCGGCUAACUCCGUGCCAGCAGCCGCGGUAAUACGGAGGGUGCAAGCGUUAAUCGGAAUUACUGGGCGUAAAGCGCACGCAGGCGGUCUGUCAAGUCGGAUGUGAAAUCCCCGGGCUCAACCUGGGAACUGCAUUCGAAACUGGCAGGCUAGAGUCUUGUAGAGGGGGGUAGAAUUCCAGGUGUAGCGGUGAAAUGCGUAGAGAUCUGGAGGAAUACCGGUGGCGAAGGCGGCCCCCUGGACAAAGACUGACGCUCAGGUGCGAAAGCGUGGGGAGCAAACAGGAUUAGAUACCCUGGUAGUCCACGCCGUAAACGAUGUCGACUUGGAGGUUGUGCCCUUGAGGCGUGGCUUCCGGAGCUAACGCGUUAAGUCGACCGCCUGGGGAGUACGGCCGCAAGGUUAAAACUCAAAUGAAUUGACGGGGGCCCGCACAAGCGGUGGAGCAUGUGGUUUAAUUCGAUGCAACGCGAAGAACCUUACCUACUCUUGACAUCCAGAGAACUUAGCAGAGAUGCUUUGGUGCCUUCGGGAACUCUGAGACAGGUGCUGCAUGGCUGUCGUCAGCUCGUGUUGUGAAAUGUUGGGUUAAGUCCCGCAACGAGCGCAACCCUUAUCCUUUGUUGCCAGCGGUCCGGCCGGGAACUCAAAGGAGACUGCCAGUGAUAAACUGGAGGAAGGUGGGGAUGACGUCAAGUCAUCAUGGCCCUUACGAGUAGGGCUACACACGUGCUACAAUGGCAUAUACAAAGAGAAGCGACCUCGCGAGAGCAAGCGGACCUCAUAAAGUAUGUCGUAGUCCGGAUUGGAGUCUGCAACUCGACUCCAUGAAGUCGGAAUCGCUAGUAAUCGUAGAUCAGAAUGCUACGGUGAAUACGUUCCCGGGCCUUGUACACACCGCCCGUCACACCAUGGGAGUGGGUUGCAAAAGAAGUAGGUAGCUUAACCUUCGGGAGGGCGCUUACCACUUUGUGAUUCAUGACUGGGGUG
rnacentral:rRNA from 4 species